AGUUCUCUUACCUUUAGAUUUCUAUGGCCUCAACUCAGCAAUAAUAGGCAAUCACAGAAGAAUAUGCAAAAGCUAUUGUGCUGAGAGCUAAGAAACUCUACACUUCCACUCUCAAUGCUAGUGUGUUAAAAGAGAUUUUAGUAAUGGCAAAGCCAGUCAACAGGGAACAGUUCAGAUGAAAUGCAAUGAAAAAGCUCGUUGACCUCUAAAACAAUAGGUGGGGCCUACUCGAAUAAUAAAAUCAACACAAAGUCAACAAUUAAACAAGAAUGUAACAAU
rnacentral:lncRNA from 1 species